GGCAGUGUAGCGUAAUGGGUAAGGUGUCGGUCUCGUAACCUAAAGGUGACGGGUUCGAUUCCCCGGUAGGACACUGCCG
rnacentral:tRNA from 1 species